rnacentral:tRNA from 1 species
UCUUAAUUGGUAGAUAAUUACGCUAAGUUUAAGCCUUAGACAUUACAACCAAUCCAAAGAUCC